GAAAGGGAGGUCAUUCUAUUCUUAAGGUUUGAUUAAUGAUUGAGUAGUAUUUCUUCCUUCUCUAUGAAUUAUCUAUCUAAUAUCUUAGCAAUAAGUUUAUUCUUUGAAAGAUAAGAAUAUCUCAGAAAAGAGAAAGAAGAAAAAUUAAAUGAUUGAAAUUCAAUCUUUUGUUUUACAGUUUAUAAGAAAAAAUUCAAAAAUUGAAAAAAAUCCUA
rnacentral:tRNA from 1 species